AAACACGGAAACAGCCUGGGAGUAUCAGUGGGAAACAUCACUUAAACACCCCCGUUAUUUUUACUGGCUCAUGAAUUUUCCAUCUUCCAGCAUUCCCAUACAGUGCACGUUCCUGGCCAAUGGCUGUGGGUUGGACCUGUGCAAAUCAAGAGGCUUUCAUGCCAGGAGAGAUUCGUGCUGCUGAUCCUUCCUGUCUGUGCGAAGUGCUGGUGCCCUCUAGUGCUCUCUGCCUGCCGACACCGCACCUGAAUUUAGAGAUUUGCCUGGAAGCAGCUCCCCCUGGCUAAAUCCCACAGGCUAGAAGCACAGGAAUCAUGACAAGAAAUAAGUCCUUACUAGUUAAUAAAAAUUUAGUAAAACUUAGUACCUCUGAAUUC
rnacentral:lncRNA from 1 species